AGUAGGUUACAUAGAUGCUCCGUUCUGUUGGCUGGCCUGUGCACCUGGACCCUCGCCGGAGCAGACAGCGGAAAAUAUUUAUUACGAAAACCUUCAAAACUUCAUUACUCAUCUGUGUUUAAACAUGGGGUUUGAUUUCCAAAGACAUAGACGUCCACUUGUCAUGGGCAGCAUAUUUGCCGUGUUGUCACUAGUGUAUACUUUCCGACUUGAUUUAAUCGGAGACAUUUCAAAAGAGAAACAAGAUCUUCUCCGACACACAGAUGUCAGUGGCAGCAAUAAGAUAAAGGAAACCAUAAGAGAAAACCAGCUUGAUUACUUCAGAAAUUUAUCUGGGGAAAAAAAAUAAUUAUGGACCCUUUCCUGUAAGGCUGAAUAUGCAGACAACUGUGAUAGGGGUGCUGGAAGGCCAGAAGAAUGGCUCUUCCAAAACUUUGUAAAUAGAUGAAACACCCCAUUUAAUCAGCUGAUGCUUGUUUACUGUUGUAACCCAGUGUCAGAUCAUGCAUAUUUUGACGACUUUCCUUUAUAAAUACUUUUUUCUUACUUUUCAUUAAUUUUGUCAGUGUUUACUAUUGGAUUGUAGGUUGUAAGUGCAGUUAGAAUUAUAUUUAUGAUUUGAAUAGUAAUAAAGCAUUUUAAAGUUAUCUUUUGUGAAUAAUUACCUUCCACUGUUUAAAAUUUGAGUCUUCCCACUCAUCACUUAGAGCAUGUUCUUCCUACUUGUUUUUCAAUGGUAAAUUAGUAGAUAUAGCACUGCAUUAAACUGGUCUGAAUCAAUGAUAUUUUAAAUUUGAUAUUUAUUAUAUUGUAUGCAUUUGGUGAUCAUUGCUUUGGUCAGUUGCUUUUACCUUUAUAAAGAACUUUUCCUGUUUCAUAAGAAAUGUUUUAUCUGCUCUUGUUCUAUAGUCUGUAUCUAUGAAGUGGAAUGAAAUUAGAAUUAAGCUGAACGGAUUUUGUGUAUAAGUAGAUAUUUUGCAAGUAAUUUCAUAUUGUAGAGUCCCCAAUAUCAAGGUAAUGUAUCUUUCAGUUAAACUAAAAAUGUUACUCCCUGAUUCUGGAUUUUUAUGCAAAAUUUCAUUAAAUCAGCAAUUACUGUCAAACUUAUCUUCGUUUUAGAUCAGUGAUGAAUCAUAUAUACUGUCUUAAUAUUACAUAUUGUAAUAUGGUGUCUCUUGCACUAAAAUUGUUUUUGAGUUAAGCUGACUAUGAUUUAAAAAAAUAAUUAUUUACAUGAUGUACUAUUUUGUGAUGAAGUUAAAUGUUUGGGUCACUAUUUCACAGGUUUUUUGUAGUCGUAAGUGGAGUCAGAAGAUAUCACUGGAGUGGAGUUGCAAAGACUGAGAAUUGUGACAUACCAAACUUGCUCAUUUGUGCACUGAUUGUCAUUAAUGUAUUAAUGUUUAUUUAAAGGUAAUUAGGAGCAAAGGAAAUGUAUUUUAUUGUUUUAUUUAUGUGGUAAUAGAGUGUGACUUAGCAGCUGUAUUUGGUUCAUUAAGUUAGAAAUGUGGAUUUGUUGACAGCAUCUAGUUAAAUUAUUAAUAUAUAAGAAAGUACUUUGUGAAGACUGAAGAGAUUUGCAUUAUGAAGGUUGGACUCCUUGACUCACUGUUAACUGGAUGAGGUCUUGUGCAUGCUAUUGGAAGCCAUACAAUUGCCCAGGCUUGGAGCACCACACACUAAUGCAUGCCUGUCCUUGCCCAACUUCACCUGUCAUUAUUGGGCUAAAGAUCUCGGAAACACAACAACCAGACCAAAGAGGAAGGACCAUAACUUUGAUUAGGCAUUCAUUAUAGUAUAACUGCAACCAGUGUACAAAAGUAUUAUUAGCACAAUGAUGAGUAACCAGUGGUGUACAUAUUUGAAAGGGUGGAUAUGUGAAUGACUGAUUUUAUACUUCAUUUCCUUUUUUAAAAUGAUUUCCCCUUUUGUUCUAUCAUUGCAAAUUAGGGACAUGUACUACUAAGACAUGUCUGCAAGAGAGAGAAAGUAUAACAGAUAUAGUGUUGAUAUUUAUACUGAGAAAUGACAUGUAGCAGGAUCGAUAAUGGUUCUUUGUGUUGAAUAAGGUUACAUCAGAAAGUAAAUCUCCAGUUUUAAAGGGGCUUAUAUAAAAGUUGUAUCAUGUCUUCUUGAUGUUUUGUCUUUAAAACAAAGCAUUUCAGUUCUAUUCAAUAUAGUUAUCUGAGCUUUUACCGAAGUUGGCCUUUCCUUUGCAGUUACUUUGGUAAAAAGAAAUCUAUGAACUUUAAUCCUGUUUUCUGUACAGUGUCUCUUUAAAAACCCACAUGCCUGAAAUGUAAACAAAGGUUUUUAUGUCAGGCCAGGAAGUGAUUUUAAAUAAAGCUAUUAUGUAUAUCUAAUAACCACAGUCAGAACUUGUUUCAAUUUAGGGAUAUUAUUUUUAUGAAUAUUGGCAAAGACUGUUACAAAAAUAAUGCUUUUCCAGGCAACACUGGCUUGAGUGGUAUUUGGUUUUGUUUAUACACUAUGCAAUAUUGAGACAUAAGAGUUCUUAAAAGAACUACGGUAAUAUAUUUCCAAGACCAACAUUUUAUAGUUUCCUGGAAGAGCUAUAGCAAGACAACUUUAUCUUGCAAAAUAUAUAAAAUUGAUGUCAGAACAGAGUCUUUUGUGCUCAUGUCAAGGAUUACAUGUAUUUCCAUCAAAACAAUUUCUGCAAAGAAGUGACAAAUUUUCAUUUUUGUCUGUUACUUGCAUUUGACUGGAUGUUGCCAGUCCUGGUCACAUUUAUCAUGUGUUUUUGUAAAGUCCAUACAUGUACUGAAAUUAUAUUGUCAACUGGUCUUCAGAGAUAUACAGAUUGGAGGAUAUUAUAAGGAAAAAUAUUAUUAUAAAAAGAGCUUUAUUUCAUUACACCUAUCCUCAAAAGGAUGAUACAUGAUAUGAAAAUUACAAAGUGCAUAGAUGAAAAGUAUAUGAAAUGGUAUGAUACAUACUGAAUUAAGCCUGGAAUAGAUUUAUUGUGCAGUGAAAAAAAAUGCAUAUUCUCUUUUUGAGCAUCACUAAAUGAUCAUAAGUUUUUGUUUUUUCCAGAAUAUCAUUAUUAUUUUUUUGUCUUUUGGGAUUCCUGAUGCUAUAAAUAGGUAUGACUUAAGCACAGCUGUGAGAUUUCUCUACUUAAAUACUGGAAAAUGAUGAUUUAAAAAAAAUCUCAUUAAUGGAAGAAAGAGAGAGAGAGA